UAAAAUUUAUAAAAUUAGGUAGUAAAGAAAUUUCUGAAACCUAAAGAAUUUGGCGGUAUUUUAAAUAAUUGGAGGAACCUGUUAUUUAAUUGACAAUCCACAACAAAUCUUACCUAAAUUUUAUUUGUAUAUCGUCGUUUUGAUAAUAUUUAAAAAUAAUAAUCAAUUUUAAUAAAUUUUUAAAAAUUCAGAUCAAGGUGCAGUAUAUUUAGGUUAUAAUGGGUUACAAUAUAAUUAUAUAUAAUGAAUAUAAACUUGAAAUUAUAUUGAAGGUGGAUUCAAAAGUAAAAUUAAAUUAAAAAGUUAAUUUGAUUAAUAAUUUAAAAUAUGC
rnacentral:rRNA from 1 species